GACGAACGCUGGCGGCGUGCUUAACACAUGCAAGUCGAACGGUAAGGCCCUGCGGGGUACACGAGUGGCGAACGGGUGAGUAACACGUGGGUGAUCUGCCCUGCACUUCGGGAUAAGCCUGGGAAACUGGGUCUAAUACCGGAUAGGACUCCUGGCUUCAUGGUUGGGGGUGGAAAGCUUUUGCGGUGUGGGAUGGGCCCGCGGCCUAUCAGCUUGUUGGUGGGGUGAUGGCCUACCAAGGCGACGACGGGUAGCCGGCCUGAGAGGGUGACCGGCCACACUGGGACGGAGAUACGGCCCAGACUCCUACGGGAGGCAGCAGUGGGGAAUAUUGCACAAUGGGCGCAAGCCUGAUGCAGCGACGCCGCGUGAGGGAUGACGGCCUUCGGGUUGUAAACCUCUUUCAGCAUCGACGAAGCGAAAGUGACGGUAGGUGCAGAAGAAGGACCGGCCAACUACGUGCCAGCCGCCGCCGUAA
rnacentral:rRNA from 1 species